AUCUUAGAUUCUAACAUUCAAAAAUUUUAUGUACAGAAAUAAUUGCCCUAUUUUACUCAUUUCUAUAGCAUUUAAAUUAGGAAAACAUAAUGAUGAGAUUUAUUUUAAUGCAUUUAUGACUGAUCCAUGGUUUUACGCAUAUUCUUCACUCAGGAGAUGAUGGAGAUUUACUAGAUAUAAAACAUCUUCAUCAUCAGCUGACGGGUGAAUCCAGAAAGAGUCUCUGCUUCAUCUGAUCUGAUCCUCUCUGAUACAUCAGAACGACUCUUCACUGCUCCGUCUGGAUCACCAGAGACUGUUAAUUAAGAAAACAGACUCAUCAUCAUAAUGUAGAUACAGCGGCUGGACUGAUG